AGAGUUUGAUCCUGGCUCAGGACGAACGCUGGCGGUGUGCUUCACACAUGCAAGUCGAACGGAGUAGCAAUACUCAGUGGCGGACGGGUGAGUAACACGUGGGAAUCUACCAUUAGGUGGGGAAUAACAGGCCGAAAGGACUGCUAAUGCCGCAUAUGUAGGCAUCUCGACAGAGAUGUUUAUGAAAGGAGUAAUCCGCCUUUUGAUGAGCCCGCGUCCGAUUAGCUAGUUGGUAGGGUAAAAGCCUACCAAGGCGACGAUCGGUAGGUGGUCUGAGAGGAUGAUCACCCACAAUGGGACUGAGACACGGCCCAUACUCCUACGGGAGGCAGCAGUGGGGAAUUUUACGCAAUGGGGGAAACCCUGACGUAGCGACACCGCGUGAGCGAAGAAGCCCUUUGGGGUGUAAAGCUCUGUCAACAGGAACGAAACAAAUGACGGUACCUGUGGAGGAAGCAUCGGCUAACUACGUGCCGGCAGCCGCGGUAAGACGUAGGAUGCAAGCAUUGUCCGGAUUUAUUGGGCGUAAAGAGUUCGUAGGUGGUUUGUUAAGUCUGAUGUUAAAGACCGGAGCUCAACUUCGGAACUGCAUUGGAUACUGGCAGACUAGAGUAUGGUAGAGGCAAGCGGAAUUCCCAGUGUAGCGGUGAAAUGCGUAGA
rnacentral:rRNA from 1 species